UACGAAGGGGGCUAGCGUUGUUCGGAAUCACUGGGCGUAAAGGGCGCGUAGGCGGCCGUUCAAGUCGGGGGUGAAAGCCUGUGGCUCAACCACAGAAUUGCCUUCGAUACUGGACGGCUCGAGACCGGAAGAGGUCAGUGGAACUGCGAGUGUAGAGGUGAAAUUCGUAGAUAUUCGCAAGAACACCGGUGGCGAAGGCGGUUCUCUGGGCCUUACCUGACGCUGAGGAGCGAAAGCAUGGGGAGCAAACAGG
rnacentral:rRNA from 1 species